rnacentral:tmRNA from 1 species
GGGGUCGUUCUGGAUUCGACAUGUGUAAUAGCGUGUGGGCCGCACUCCGUAGCGUCAACUACGUUAAAAGGGCACAGUUUAAUUAUAACUGCAAAAAAUAAUAACACUUACGCUGUAGCUGCUUAAUACCAGUUUAGCGUGAUCCACCUGGAUUAGUCCCGAGUUCAGUCGUGGGUCCAAAAUUGAGGGACUACGUUUAACUAUGCAUUCUGAAUAGUUAAAAAGAGAUAAUCAGGAUAGUCACUAUGAUUAACCUGGUUGUGUGGUGCACAUAGUGGCGAAAUUUAAGUAGCACAACUAUGAGUGUAGAAGUUUACAUUGCGUUAUGCUUGGACGCGGGUUCGACUCCCGCCGACUCCAUUG